rnacentral:tRNA from 1 species
GCCUGGGUGGCUUAGUCAGUUAAGCAUCUGACUUUGACUCAGGUCAUGAUCUCACGGUUCUUGAGAUCAAACCCCGGGCU